rnacentral:ncRNA from 1 species
AACCGCCGUAUACGGAACCGUACGUACGGUGGUGUGGGAGGACGGCGGGGGUAACCCCGUCUCCUACCCGAU